rnacentral:rRNA from 1 species
AGUCAUAUGCUUGUCUCAAAGAUUAAGCCAUGCAUGUGUAAGUAUCAGCACUAGUACUGUGAAACUGCGAAUGGCUCAUUAAAUCAGUUAUCGUUUAUUUGAUUGUACUCUUAUUGAAUUACAUGGAUAUCUGUGGUAAUUCUAGAGCUAAUACAUGCGAAAAACUGCGACUGUCGCUCUCGGGUGACGGAAGGAGUGUAUUUAUUAGAUUAAAAACCAAUGCCUUUCGGGGCUCCUAUUGGUGAGUCAUGAUAACUUUUCGAAUCGCAGGGCCUUUGCGCCGGCGAUGUUUCAUUCAAAUUUCUGCCCUAUCAACUGUCGAUGGUAAGGUAGUGGCUUACCAUGGUUGCAACGGGUGACGGAGAAUUAGGGUUCGAUUCCGGAGAGGGAGCCUGAGAAACGGCUACCACAUCUAAGGAAGGCAGCAGGCGCGAAAAUUACCCAAUCCCGACUCGGGGAGGUAGUGACAAGAAAUAACGAUACGGGGCCUUCACAGGUCUCGCAAUUGGAAUGAGUACAAUUUAAAUCCUUUAACGAGGAUCCAU